AUUCCAAUCGAACCCGGAGAUAGCUGGUUCUCCCCGAAAUAGUUUUAGGACUAGCCUCAAGUUAGAUACCUGGAGGUAAAGCACUGAAUAGCCUAGCGGCCGAGAGGUUAGCGAAGCUUAUCAAACUCAGAAUGCCAGAGUAUUGAUGCUUGGGAGUCAGACAGUGUCAGAUAAAUGUCAUUGUCAAAAGGGAAACAGCCCAGAUCUACAGCUAAGGUCCCAAAGUCAGGUUAAGUGGAAAACGAUGUGAAGAUACGCAGACAACCAGGAUGUUGGCUCAGAAGCAGCCACUCAUUCAAAGAGUGCGUAAUAGCUCACUGGUCGAGCGUCUUUGCGCGGAGAAUUUAACGGGGCUAAACCUGACACCGAAGCUUAGGCAGCAUGUUUACAUGCUGGGUAGGGGAGCGUUGUAUACGCGGAGAAACAGUAGCGCAAGCGGCUGUGGAGUGUAUAGAAGUGAGAAUGCCGGAAUGAGUAGCGCGAAUGCAGUGAGAAUCUGCAUGGCCGAAAGCCUCAGGUUUCUGGAGGAAGGUUCGUCCGCUCCAGGUCAGUCGGGAGCUAAGGUGAGGCCUAACGGCGUAGCCGAUGCACAGACGGUAGAGAUUCCGUCACCACCAAAAGAGUUAAACACAGGGACACAUAUGAAGUCUCGGAGCCGGGUGUUGGUUCCGGUAGCGAUCGAGGGAAGUUAGUACCGAAGUCCGGGAUGGAAGAUGGCGAGAAAAGCUGUGUGUAUUUCUGCGGUGCCCGUACCGCAAACCGACACAGGUAGGUAGGAAGAAGAUUCUAAGGCCAACGGGAGAAGGGUUGUUAAGGAACUCGGCAAAUUGACCCCGUAACUUCGGGAGAAGGGGUGCUGCAGCAAUGCAGCCGCAGAGAAUCGGCCCAAGCAACUGUUUACCAAAAACACAGGUUUGUGCUAAAUCGAAAGAUGACGUAUACGAGCUGACGCCUGCCCGGUGCUGGAAGGUUAAGAGGAGAUGUGCAAGCAUUGAAUCGAAGCCCCAGUGAACGGCGGCCGUAACUAUAACGGUCCUAAGGUAGCGAAAUUCCUUGUCAGGUAAGUUCUGACCCGCAUGAAAGGCGUAAUGAUUUGGGCACUGUCUCAACAGCCCGCCCGGCGAAAUUGUAGUACCGGUGAAGAUGCCGGUUACCCGCGACAAGACGGAAAGACCCCAUGGAGCUUUACUGUAGCCUAAUAUUGGGUUUCGAUGUUGCAUGCACAGGAUAGAUGGGACACUGGGAAGCAGGUGCUUUGGCGCUUGUGGAGUGGCCGUUGGGAUACCAUCCUUGCGAUAUUGGAAUUCUAACCUGCGCCUUUGAAUCAAGGCGGGGGACAUUGUUAGGUGGGCAGUUUGACUGGGGCGGUCGCCUCCUAAAGAGUAACGGAGGCGUUCAAAGGUUCGCUCAGCUUGAACGGAAAUCAAGCAAAAGAGUGCAAACGCAGAAGCGAGCCUAACUGCGAGACUGACGGGUCGAGCAGUAACGAAAGUUGGAGUUAGUGAUCCGGUGGUAUGUGAGUGGAAAUGCCAUCGCUCAACGGAUAAAAGUUACCCUGGGGAUAACAGGCUGAUCUCCCCCAAGAGUCCACAUCGACGGGGAGGUUUGGCACCUCGAUGUCGGCUCAUCGCAUCCUGGGGCUGUAUUCGGUCCCAAGGGUUUGGCUGUUCGCCAAUUAAAGCGGUACGCGAGCUGGGUUCAGAACGUCGUGAGACAGUUCGGUCCCUAUCCGGCGCGGGCGGAGGAUAUUUGAGAGGAGCUGUCCUUAGUACGAGAGGACCGGGAUGGACGGACCACUGGUGUAUCUGUUGUCGACCAACGGCAUGGCAGAGUAGCCAAGUCUGGAAGGGAUAAACGCUGAAGGCAUCUAAGCGUGAAGCCCCCCUCAAGAUGAGAUAUCCCAUUCGAAAGAAGUAAGACCCCUUGAAGACUACAAGGUUGAUAGGCACGAUGUGUAAGUGGAGCGAUCCAUUCAGCAAGCGUGUACUAAUAGGUCGAGGGCUUGACCAC
rnacentral:rRNA from 1 species